rnacentral:rRNA from 1 species
UAGGGAAUCUUCCACAAUGGGCGCAAGCCUGAUGGAGCAACGCCGCGUGAGUGAAGAAGGUCUUCGGAUCGUAAAACUCUGUUGUUAGAGAAGAACACGAGUGAGAGUAACUGUUCAUUCGAUGACGGUAUCUAACCAGAAAGCCACGGCUAACUACGUGCCAG